GACAGAGGGUGCGAACGUUGUUCGGAAUUACUGGGCGUAAAGCGCAUGUAGGCGGCAGCGCAAGUCGGGCGUGAAAUCCCACGGCUCAACCGUGGAAGUGCACUCGAAACUGCGCAGCUAGAGUCCUGGAGAGGAAGGUGGAAUGCUUGGUGUAGAGGUGAAAUUCGUAGAUAUCAAGCGGAACACCAGUGGCGAAGGCGGCCCACUGGCCCAUUACUGACGCUGAGGCACGAAAGCGUGGGGAGCAAACAGG
rnacentral:rRNA from 1 species